rnacentral:rRNA from 1 species
GAUCCUGGCUCAGGAUGAACGCUAGCUACAGGCUUAACACAUGCAAGUCGCGGGGCAGCACUGGGAUUGCUUGCAGUCCCUGGUGGCGACCGGCGCACGGGUGAGUAACGCGUAUCCAACCUGCCCUGCAGUGGGGAACAGCCCGGCGAAAGUCGGAUUAAUGCCCCAUGGCGUCCUCGGCGGGCAUCUAAUGAGGACUAAAGGCUUCGGCCGCUGCGGGAUGGGGAUGCGUAGGAUUAGGCAGGCGGCGGGGCGACGGCCCACCGCGCCGACGAUCCUUAGGGGUUCUGAGAGGAAGGUCCCCCACACUGGUACUGAGACACGGACCAGACUCCUACGGGAGGCAGCAGUGAGGAAUAUUGGUCAAUGGGCGCGAGCCUGAACCAGCCAAGUAGCGUGCAGGAAGACGGCCCUACGGGUUGUAAACUGCUUUUAUGCGGGGAUAAAGUGGGCUACGCGUAGCCCUUUGCAGGUACCGCAUGAAUAAGGACCGGCUAAUUCCGUGCCAGCAGCUGC